rnacentral:rRNA from 1 species
AUUGUACGCUGGCGGCAGGCCUAACACAUGCAAGUCGAGCGGUAGCACAGAGAGCUUGCUCUCGGGUGACGAGCGGCGGACGGGUGAGUAAUGUCUGGGAAACUGCCUGAUGGAAGGGGAUAACUACUGGAAACGGUAGCUAAUACCGCAUAAUGUCGAAAGACCAGAGUGGGGGACCUUCGGGCCUCAUGCAAUCAGAUGUGCCCAGAUGGGAUUAGCUAGUAGGUGGGGUAACGGCUCACCUAGGCGACGAUCCCUAGCUGGUCUGAGAGGAUAACCAGCCACACUGGAACUGAGACACGGUCCAGACUCCUACGGGAGGCAGCAGUGGGGAAUAUUGCGCAAUGGGCGCAAGCCUGAUGCAGCCAUGCCGCGUGUGUGAAGAAGGCCUUCGGGUUGUAAAGCACUUUCAGCGGGGAGGAAGGCGUUAAGGUUAAUAACCUUGGCGAUUGACGUUACCCGCAGAAGAAGCACCGGCUAACUCCGUGCCAGCAGCCGCAGUAA